UUGGGAUUUUCGGCUGUUGCUUGGGGCAUCGGUGGUAGUCGGAAUCGGGCGUGCGGCGGCGGGUGCGCGCGCGCGGAGCGGCGGAGAGCGGAGGGCGGGAGGCGCCGAGGCGUAGGGCGGUAGCGUGCCCAGGCAGAGGAACCGGAGGAGCGAGCGACGGGCGUGGCGGCGUGCGGGCACCGGCCGCGCGGAGCAGGCUGCAGCGGAGCUAGAAAAUUAGUUAUCAGGGUCACCGGAUCAGAAUACAAAUUUUUAGUAUUAUCUUUUGGCAGAGGUCAUCGGGUCGGCUUACACUGUAGCUCCGUCCCUGGGCUGCAGGCGAGGAGGUCGUCGGGGCGUGGCGGCGUGCGGGCACCGGCCGCGGGGAGCAGGCUGCAGGCGAGGAGGUCGUCGGGGCAGGGCAGCGCCGGCAUCGGGCGUCCCUCGGCGGCUCGGCCAGGCCGGUCCGGGGAGGCGGGGACCUGGGCGGGGCGGCAGCGGCGGGAGCUCGGCAAGGUUGGAGAAGGUUCCCUAGCCAUCCGGGUCCGAGCUUCUGAUAUAUCUUUGGAAGUUGGAGCCUUCUCUCGAUGAGCCACUGGCGAUGGCCACGGCGAGAACUUGUCGUACUUCGACGUGGGAAGGCCUACGGCACGAACCCAUUCGACCUGCGGCAUAACCGUGGCGGUGUCAUCCAGAUUGGUCUCUCCAAGAACCAGCUUUCUCUGGACCUGAUUGAGGAAUGGAGCAAGACCACCCCGAGGCAUCCAUUUGCACACCGGCAGGCAGGUUUGAUAAUUGAGAACAAUAGAAGAUGGAUAAGAAAGGCAAGGGAAAGGCGACAUAACAAAGAGGCCGCUACCUCCAUGGGCCAUGGAGCAAUGGGCCUAGCAGCGGAGGCAGUGCUCGCCCUUCGCGCCGCCGACCCGCUUCCCAUGCUCCGCCGCCGCCACGACGCGCUCCCACCACGCCUCUUCGCGCAGCUCCACGCACUCCUCCUCACCGCCGGGCUCGCGCACCACUCCCCAAACUUGUCCCUCCUCCUCCGCCUCGCCUCCCCGGCCCUCUCCGUCUCCCACCGCCUCCACCUCCUCCUCUGCUCCCCGCUCCCACCCACCACCUUUCUCGCCAACUCCCUCCUUGCCGCCUCCUCCCCACGCUGCUUCCCCUCCUCACUCUCCCUCUACUCUCUCCUCUUCCUCUCCUCUACCAUGCCGCCGCCACCGCUCCUCCGCCCAAACGCCUUCACCUACCCGCUGCUCUUUCGCGCCGCGCCCCCGGCCGUUGCCUUCGCGCUCGCCACCCAUUCGGUCAAAUUCCUCGGCACCCAUGCUGCCUCCUACGACCGCUUCCUCGGGGCCGCACUGCUCGACGUCUUCGCCCGCUGUGGCAGGAUUGCCUCGUGCCGCCGAGUGUUCGACCGGAUCGCUCGCCCUGACCUACCGGCCUGGAACGCACUACUCUCCGCCUACGCGCGUUGUGCUUCGUCUGCUGCAGAUACUAUCCUUGAGCUCUUUGCACGGAUGCUUUCCCUAGCAACCAUCAGGCCCAAUGAGAUCACUCUCGUCGCUGUCAUUGGCGCGUGUGGUGAGCUCGGCGCUCUCGGCCACGGCAUAUGGGCGCACACUUAUCUCGUGAAGCGCCAGCUUGCUAUCAACUGCAUCAUGACUACUGCGCUUGUUGAGAUGUACGCCAGGUGUGGGAGGCUGGACCUAGCCGAGCAUGUCUUUGCCACUACUUCGGACAGAGACACGCGUUGUUACAAUGCGAUGCUCCAAGGUUUGGCCGCCCACGGUCAUGGUCGUGCUGCCCUUGCCCUGUUCGAUAGAAUGCGUGGCUCAGGCAUGCUAGUGGAUGGCGUCACUGUUCUGUCCGUGUUGUGUUCUUGUGCCCAUGCUGGAUUGGUGGAUGAAGGGUUGGAGUACUUUGACAAAAUGGAGAUCGAAUUCGGGAUUGAGCCAAGGAUUGAGCACUACGGAUGCGUGGUUGACAUGCUGAGCCGAGCAGGUCGACUUGACGAUGCUGAGAAGCUGAUCCAUGAAAUGCCCAUUGCGCCAAAUGCUGCAAUAUACAGAUCUUUGAUCCGGGCCUGUGGCAUUCAUGGCAAGCUGGAGUUCGGCGAGAGGAUGAUCACUGAAUUGAGGCGACUUGACUUGAAAGACAGUGGAAACCAUGUCCUGAUUGCCAACUUGUAUGCUAGAAUGAACCGAUGGGAGGAAGCCAAGAAGGCAAGGAAGGAGAUGAAGUCCAUGGGCAUUGACAAGAGCCCCGGAUCAAGCCUUCUGGACAUGAAUGGAAUUCUCCAUGAGUUCUUGGUGGGUGACAAGAGGCAUCCUGCCGCAAAGGAGAUAUACACCAUGGUUGAAGAGAUCGAGACCAGAUUAAGUGAACAUGGGCACCGGUCAAACACCACAUCUGUGUUGUUUGAUGUCGAAGAGGAGGACAAGGCGGAUACACUGACCUACCACAGCGAGAGGCUCGCCAUUGCCUUUGCUCUUAUUGCUUCCAAUCCAGGAACCCCCAUCAGGAUCAUCAAGAACCUCCGGGUGUGUGCCGACUGCCAUGAGAGCGCAAAGCUUGUCUCUCAGGUGUAUGGUAGAGAGAUUGUCAUGAGGGACCGCACCCGGUUCCAUCACUUCAGAGAAGGGGAGUGUUCUUGUGGAGAUUUCUGGUAAUUGCCUCAAGUUUUAUAAUGCUAUAAGGGAGGCCUAUCAAGACAUUCAAAUGAUUUCAAAUUGUGAUGCUUCAUCAAGACCACUUAACCAUCCUUCUGAUUUAUAUGAUUUCCGUGUGUAUACUGAUUUCGAUGAAGAAUACAUUUGACAGAUCAUCUCGUAAUGGGCCCAAGGCUUUUGUUAGUGAAUAUGUCGUAUGGAGAAGUGAUGCAGGUAGAGGAAGUCUUCUUGCAUCUUUGGCAGAGGCUGCUUUCCUUACUGGACUGGAGAAGAAUAGGUGAUCUUUCCUUGAAACAAUGUUAUUAUUUCUCCCUGGAUAUCACGCUUGAGCUUUCCUAGAUAGAUCUUUAUUAAGAUCUACUAACAAAUGCAAGAUCUUUACGGUGAGUUAGGUAACCUCUUGUUGGCUCUUUGCAGUGAUAUUACUCAGAUGGCAAGUUAUACGAGUAAUACAUAAGAUGUGAUAUGCGAAUACGAGUAAUAUAUAAGAUGUGAUGCGAAUUCGAGCCAGCUGUCUAUAUAUAUGCUUGUAUCUUGAAGCACUACUGCAUAGUGUAACUCAUAGAAAAUGAUGAAUAAAAUUCACAUCAGGCUUA